GUGCUCGCUUAGCACAUAGACCCAAAUUGAAAUAGCACAGAAAGAUUAGCAUGGCCCCAGACUAAGAGUGACAUGCAAAUUCAUAAAGCGACUAUUUUUUUU
ensembl:snRNA U6 U6 spliceosomal RNA